rnacentral:rRNA from 1 species
UACGAAGGGGGCUAGCGUUGCUCGGAAUCACUGGGCGUAAAGCGCACGUAGGCGGCCGCACAGGUCCGUUGUGAAAACUGGAGGCUUAACCUUCAGACGUCGAUGGAAACCGUGCGGCUAGAGUCCGGAAGAGGAGAAUGGAAUUCCUGGUGUAGCGGUGAAAUGCGCAGAUAUCAGGAAGAACACCCGUGGCUAAGGCGGUUCUCUAGUACGGUACUGACGCUGAGACGCGAAAGCGUGGGGAGCGAACAGG